CCUGCCUUAGUCGCUCCAAUCCUAGUCACAGUGCGGCACGUGUUCAUCUCCGUAGAGCAACGUGGAGUCAGCGACCUCUUUGAGGGUAAAGCUUCUUCCUGCCGCUCCUGGGUGUUUGUGGGUACAUGGGUGUGUGUCUGUGCCCGGAGAGGCCCAAGGGGCUACAGCAGAGCACUGGACAAGAGUCGGAAGGCCCUGGCUCUAGCCUCUCUCUGACACUCCUAUAGCUGUGGAUCAGAGUAACCUCCUAGUAGAUUUUACCCGGGACAAAGACUCUAGGAGAGGCGCUUGUGCUGUCUUUAGGCUGAACACACACAGUUGACCCUGGGAAACUCCUGUGCUGGAGUUUCACAUUGUACCACCACCCCCAGAUCAUCCACUUGGAUAUGAUUUAUACAUUGGCAUUCUCUGCAAGAUUUCUCUCAAGGAAACUUAAAAACUGGCAGCCUUAAAGGUUGUGGAGAGACAAGGCAACUGACUGGAAAAUAGCAAAGACUGCUCUCCUAGAGUAGCAGCAGAAGGACCCCAAAGACUUCCAGGGGACACCAAGUCAAAGCUGAAGAAAGAAUGCUUCUCAUGCCAGCAGGGCUGAAGGCCUGAGUGUCCAGUUGGGAUUCUCCUGCUUAGAUGGAUGCUCCAUGGUCCUUCCCAACGCCCAGAUCAGAGUCCUCCGACACAACCCAGAGUGGUCCUGCCAUCACCGACCAAGCAUACCCCUCUAAGCAUCGCUGUGUGUCUCUUUCUUGGCCUGUGGUGUUUGUUCUGGCUCCUGUUGAACAACGUAGGCUUUGUGUUAGAUUAUUAGUGUCUCGUCUUGCUGCUGUGAUGAUAUCUGAGCCAAGCGAUUUAAGGCGCGAAACGUCUAUGUUGGUUCGCAGUUCAGGCUCCAUCAUAGUGCCGAAGUUAUGGUAGUAUGAGCCUAGGACAGCAGGUCAUGUUGCAUCUGCAGUCAGGAAGCAAUAGGAAGGUGAAUGUUAGCGAUCAGCUCCAUUUCCCCAUCUUACCCAGCGGAGGACCCCAGCCCCCUGAGUGGUGCCACUCACAGUUCAGGCAGAUCUUCCCUUCUCCAUCUAACCUAGGUAAUCCUUCACCAGCAUGAGGCUUGUCUCUUCUACCAGACCCUGGCAGGUAGACAGUCGAUGUUAACCAUCACAAUGUCAAGCAGUGCUCUGCAUUCCUGGGCAAUCUGAGGUAAGCAUAGAAAGGCCAAUGCCUGACUUCCGUGUUAUCUCACUGUUACAUCCCACCUGGAGGUAGGUCCAGGGUCCGAAAGCUCCCGUCAUACGCUCUGUCCAGCUUGUUAUUUCCACAAACACACUCCAUUCUCCCUCUGCCGAGAGACCUCCCUGCCUUUCCAGCCCUUUCCAUUCUCAAGGCAUGCCUGGGCCCCCCACCUCAGAAGCCUCUUCCUCCACACACACCAUGUACAGCCCCUGGGCUCAUGCUUGUGAUUUAUCUUUUGGGGAACUAUGUCUUGUUUCUCCAGUUAUACUGUAAACUUUUGGGGGUAGCAACACGUGCUAUCCCAAACACCAUUAACAUUUGUUUAAAGAAGAAGGGGGGAAGGAAAGAAGAGAGAGAGGCAAUAAAUCCAUCCAUCUUCUG